UAGAUGUAUAAAGAGUGGACUAUAGGGAGAGAAAAGUAGGAAGGAAGAUCCUUUAGGAAGCUAUUGCAGUAGGCUAGGAAGGUGAUAAUGAGGGUUUGUAUUAGAUUGCCAAUGGGAAAAGAUUGGAGGGGAAUGCUGAGAUCAAUCAAGAUUAGAAGGGAAGCCUUAAAUAUUCCUUUCUAAAACCCACUGAAGGAUGGCUGACUAACUUAUUAUCAUGAUAACCUUUCAGGGGUAGCAUAGUUGAGCCAAGGGGAGUAGAGAAUUACCUACACUCCUUAGGAAUAUCUUUGAUGGGAUGAUGAAGCCUUGCUCUGGUAUCCAGAACUCAUUUGUGAAGGUGAUCAACAAGGAGGACCUUUGAAAUUUGACCAGGGAUGAGGGUGUUGUCUUCCCUACAAUCUUAACAAAUAGAUGUCAGGAUUCUGAAGAUUUAGUGAAUAUUACAGCUCUUGAUUUGGUGGUCUGGAAUCAAGCCUGCAACAUCUCCAAGCCUCUGAAGCUGAGAUGCAACAAAGUAUGGAUCAUUUCUCUGCUGCUCAUGCUACUUUUGGCCUAACAAUUCAGAAGAAAAAAACACAGGUUCUUCACCAGCCAGCACCACACCAUCCCUAUAUGGAACCAUUGGUCAUAGCAAAUGGAAAAAUAUUGAAUGCUGUGGAUAAGCUCACUGACCUUGGCAGUACCUUUCCAGAGAUGUACACAUAGAUGAUGAGGUUGAUGCACACCUUGCCAGAGUUAUUUUAGUGUUUGGGAGGCUCUGAAAGAAAGUAUGGGAGAGAAGGUCCACAGAGCUACUGUGCUGAUUUCAUUGUUGUAUGCCUGUGAAACCUGGACAGCCUCCCAGUGAUAUGCCAGGAAAUUG